UACGUAGGGUGCAAGCGUUGUCCGGAAUUAUUGGGCGUAAAGAGCUCGUAGGCGGUCUGUCGCGUCUGCUGUGAAAACUCAGGGCUUAACCCUGAGCUUGCAGUGGGUACGGGCAGACUAGAGUGCGGUAGGGGAGACUGGAAUUCCUGGUGUAGCGGUGAAAUGCGCAGAUAUCAGGAGGAACACCGGUGGCGAAGGCGGCAUCCUGGAC
rnacentral:rRNA from 1 species